AUGAACGCUAGCGGCAGGCCUAAUACAUGCAAGUCGAGGGGUAAGAGUCAGCUUGCUGACUACACGACCGGCGCACGGGUGCGUAACGCGUAUGCAACCUACCUUUAACAGAGGAAUAGCCCCGAGAAAUCGGGAUUAAUACCACAUAACAUUAUGAUAUGGCAUCAUAUUAUAAUUAAAACUCCGGUGGUUAAAGAUGGGCAUGCGUGACAUUAGCUAGUUGGUGAGGUAACUGCUCACCAAGGCUACGAUGUCUAGGGGUUCUGAGAGGAUGAUCCCCCACACUGGUACUGAGACACGGACCAGACUCCUACGGGAGGCAGCAGUAAGGAAUAUUGCGCAAUGGAGGCAACUCUGACGCAGCCAUGCCGCGUGCAGGAUUGAAGGCCUUAUGGGUCGUAAACUGCUUUUAUUUAGGAAUAAACUUUCGUACGUGUACGAAACUGAAGGUACUAAACGAAUAAGCACCGGCUAACUCCGUGCCAGCAGCCGCGGUAAUACGGAGGGUGCAAGCGUUAUCCGGAUUUAUUGGGUUUAAAGGGUGCGCAGGCGGACCAAUUAGUCAGUGGUGAAAUCCCGAGGCUCAACCUCGGAACUGCCAUUGAUACUGUUGGUCUUGAAUACGGUUGAAGUAGGCGGAAUGUAGCAUGUAGCGGUGAAAUGCAUAGAGAUGCUACAGAACACCGAUCGCGAAAGGCAGCUUACUAAACCGAUAUUGACGCUCAGGCACGAAAGCGUGGGGAGCGAACAGGAUUAGAUACCCUGGUAGUCCACGCCGUAAACUAUGAUCACUCGUUGUUGGCAAUACACAGUCAGUGACCAAGCGAAAGCGAUAAGUGAUCCACCUGGGGAGUACGAUCGCAAGGUUGAAACUCAAAGGAAUUGACGGGGGCCCGCACAAGCGGUGGAGCAUGUGGUUUAAUUCGAUGAUACGCGAGGAACCUUACCUGGGCUCAAAUGUAAGUUGACAGUUUCUGAAAGGGAAUUUUCUUCGGACAAUUUACAAGGUGCUGCAUGGUUGUCGUCAGCUCGUGCCGUGAGGUGUCGGGUUAAGUCCCAUAACGAGCGCAACCCCUACUCUUAGUUGCCAUCAGAUAAUGCUGGGGACUCUAGGAGAACUGCCUACGCAAGUAGAGAGGAAGGUGGGGAUGACGUCAAAUCAGCACGGCCCUUACGUCCAGGGCUACACACGUGCUACAAUGGCCGGUACAGAGGGCAGCCACCUGGUGACAGGGAGCGAAUCUCUAAAGCCGGUCUCAGUUCGGAUCGAAGUCUGCAACCCGACUUCGUGAAGCUGGAAUCGCUAGUAAUCGCGCAUCAGCCAUGGCGCGGUGAAUACGUUCCCGGGCCUUGUACACACCGCCCGUCA
rnacentral:rRNA from 1 species